UCCCUGGUGGGCCAGUGGCUAAGACUCCACACUCCCAAUGAGGGGCCCAGGUUUGAUUCCUGGUCAGGGAA
rnacentral:tRNA from 1 species